rnacentral:rRNA from 1 species
AUGACGCGCAGCCAGAAGGGUUCAGAUUAUGAAGAACUUGGGUCAAGCAAUGGAGGGUCUUACAAUCCCCUAUCAGAUAGCACUCCUUGUCCUUCUGAAAAUGAGAUAGAACUUCACCAUGGUGCAGGGCAUACAGAGCAAGUCCUAGCUACAAAUGAAACUCGUUCGGUUGAGGAGCAAUUAGCCAACCUUACGGCAGCACUCCAACAAAAGGAAGACGAGCUAGCAGCCCUUCGUAUUCAUAUGGGCAAUAACCAGAACAAAGGAAAUGAAGGGGAUGGUGGUGCAAGUGCUAGCAGCCAACAUGGAGGAGCAGGGCUUAACCUUGAGGCGAUCCAAAGGAUGAUCGCUGAGGGGGUAAAGUCCCAGUUGAUGCAAACUCAGUACUCUAUGCGGCCAGGACAUUGUCUGGGCCUGCCUUUACCUGGUACAACAAGCUACCUCCAAGCUCCGUAA